GGUAGCUACCGGCCUUGCUGACGAUAGUCAGCAACUCUAAUGCCGGUAGCGACCUGCCGCCGAGCGUAUGCAAGGGGGCGCUUCCUUGC
rnacentral:sRNA from 1 species